CCCUUAGAUGCUCUGGGCCGCACGCGCGCUACACUGGUCGAUGCAACGAGUUUCUUUCCUUGGCCGACAGGCCUGGGCAAUCUUUGAACAUCGAUCGUGAUCGGGAUAGAUUCUUGUAAUUUUUGAUCUUAAACGAGGAAUUCCUAGUAAACGCAAGUCAUCAGCUUGCAUUGAUUACGUCCCUGCCCUUUGUACACACCGCCCGUCGCACCUACCGAUUGAAUGGUCCGGUGAAAUCUCCGGACUGGCGUGAGUCGGAGCAAUCUGACAAACACCGGAAAGUUGAUUAAACCUUACCACUUAGAGGAAGGUGAAGUCGUAACA
rnacentral:rRNA from 1 species